rnacentral:lncRNA from 12 species
UUUCAAUUUGUGUUGACCACUGCAAGGGGGAAAAGCACCCACGCUCACCCUGAGAACAUUUGUGGCUCAGCAGCAAAGAACAACACAGAGAAUUAUCAGAACAAACAGAGAGGCAAAAAGACCCACCUAUAAAGAGUCUGUUCUGAGGCAGGGACAGAUAUUUAAUGGCUCUGUGUGUCUGUGAAUAAACGCCAGAGGGGAAGGAAGGCACGGUUCAGGAGCUCAGCAAGAUCACCCAGAACGGGCUGGGAGCUGCUGCAGAACAGCAAAAUGGGCACAAACCAACAGGUACAGAGCAGGCCGAGCUCAAACUCCGCAUAGGUAACACAAUUAAACAUUCCGACAGCUUGCAGCGGGAUACGGUAAUGAUCUGAUGCCUGAAAUCACGAGUGGAUUGUCCAGGACACGUUUGAGCUCCUGGCUGGACACAGCAAUGCCGGUGGCCCCAACACACCCCUCAGAACCAGCCGGGCAGCUCCGCUCCCCCGCGGGAACACCGGACCCGGCCACACGCGGCCAUUCCCGGCCUCCCGUGGGAAAUUCGCCGCCAAGGGGCAGGAAUAGAGGCGGACACAGGCGGAGACAAUAGCAGCAAACCCUCCGGUUACCGGGAAGGCCUGGAGCACAUCCCGAGCGCCCCGGAGCCGGUGCGGCCCAAGGGCGGGGGGCCGGGGUUGCCAUGGCGACUGCGCCGGGCCCGGGCCCGUCCCGGGCGAUAACACCGUGACAACGCCAGCCCCCUCGCCCACCACAGAGACCCCGCCCGAACCCUUCCCCGCUCACCUGGGAGGGGCGGCGGACGCGCCCUCAGCACAUCCCGGGAGGCGGAACCGGACGGGGGAGCGCUGGGCACGGGCACCGGCGGCACUUCCUCAACCGGGGCACCGCGCAGUAACGCGCCUCGCCAUUGGCUGGCGGCGGGACACGUGACCACGACACUGCGCGUGCGCACACGCCGGUCCCCUGAGGCCACGUGGGCGGCGCCGAGCGGGGAACGCUGUCGAGGGGGGCUCAGAGAAACACAGCAAGAUAAUAAAGGGGCUGGACACCACCUCUGCAAGCUCUGCUGCCCUUCCCAGGACAAUUCCAUGCUGCACUCAGAGCUGGCCAGCACAGCACUGCCAGCCUUCGGCCAGUUUUCCAGCCAGCAUCAACAAAGCAGCCCAGAUCUCACUGCAGAUUUUCAAGAAGCUCUGACUGAGGUGUGUACAGGGCAUUUCCCCAGCAGGGAGGUGGAUGGGUCACUGCAGCCACACAUGGGUUUUG